rnacentral:misc_RNA from 1 species
AAGGAGUCAAGGUUUUGCGCGAGUGUUCGGGUGUCAAACCCGCAACGCGCAGCGAAAGCAAACGCUGGUGGGAGCCACGGCGCACCACCGACCGAUCCCGAAGGCCUCGGACGGAUUUGAGUAUGAGCGCAAAGCUUUGGACCCGAAAGAUGGUGAACUAUGCGUGGGUAGGGUGAAGCCAGAGGAAACUCUGGUGGAGGCUCGCAGCGGUUCUGACGUGCAAAUCGAUCGUCAAACCUACGCAUGGGGGCGAAAGACUAAUCGAACCAUCUGGUAGCUGGUUGCCGC